GGGUUUAUAAAAAGGCAUCAGCCAUUUCGUUUUAAGCGACUAUGAGCUGUGUAUUUCACUUCAUCUGAAUCAAUAUCCGAAAAUGACGAAUAAUCAGCAUCCUUAAUCCUCAGGCUCAAGCUUCUGCCGCAGCCGCUGCAGCCGCGUAAGUGGCGUCCAGUCUUUAGGAUGGCUCGCCAUCCGAUUGUACAAGGCAGUUUGAUGCAGCACCAUAGAAUGCAAAGAGGACAAUAGACGCAUAAGC
rnacentral:lncRNA from 1 species